UACGUAGGGCGCAAGCGUUGUCCGGAAUUAUUGGGCGUAAAGAGCUCGUAGGUGGCUUGUCACGUCGGGUGUGAAAGCUUGGGGCUUAACUCCAGGUCUGCAUUCGAUACGGGCUGGCUAGAGGUAGGUAGGGGAGAACGGAAUUCCUGGUGUAGCGGUGAAAUGCGCAGAUAUCAGGAGGAACACCGGUGGCGAAGGCGGUUCUCUGGCCUUACCUGACGCUGAGGAGCGAAAGCGUGGGAGCGAACAGG
rnacentral:rRNA from 1 species